rnacentral:lncRNA from 1 species
CUCUAGUAUAGCUUGUUUACAGAGGUAUUAUCGGGGGGAAAGAAAGCUGAAAAUUUCGAAAGGCUUCGUUGGGAGUGCCCUCUCAGAUAAGAGGAAGGGUUGAGCAUUUUUGCAGGUCUGCCUGUCCGUUGGGGAUGGAGGUCGACAUAUAUAGGAGUCUCCCUAACAUCAAGUAAUAAUGCUAUUCCUUUACCCUGCUUGGUCAUAGCACGGUAGUGGGAGCUAUCAGCUUCACAUGUUUUAACUCUGUCAGAGCACUUUGAAAAAGUGGUCUGUGGUAUCUGGAAAGCUGAUGUUGCGUGUGAAGAUUACAGACAAGCUUUAUCCAAGGAGAUCCAGCUCUUGAAGUUGGGAAAGUGGUGCCUCUUCGGUUUUCGAACAAGCAAUCUUGUCGGGGAUCUAGCUCUCUAGAUUCGGAGAACGAUGCCUCUUCGAUUUUUGAGAAAGCAAUCAUGCUGGGGGUCUGGCUCUCGAGAUUCGGAGAGCGGUGUCUCUUCGAUUUUUGAGAAAGUAAUCAUGUUGGGAGUCUGGCUCUCGAGAUUCGGAGGACGGUGCCUCUUCGAUUUUGGGCAAGCAAUCUUGUUGGGAGUGUUUUCUCGAAUGUGAGUAAAGGUUGGGCAUGUUUGCUAGUCUACCUUGCCACGAAGCACAGAGGUUGACACACCGGGACUUUCCAAUUAUCCAGCAGUGGUACUGUUCCUUUACCCUUGUGGGUAAUAAUAUGGUAGCUAGACCUUCAAAAUUUAUGUGUCUAAACUUUGUUAGUGUUGUUUCUUUGCUAUUCUUUUACCCUUCUUGGUCAGAGCGAUGUAGUGGGAGCUGCAAGCUUCACGUGUCUCAACUUUGUCAGAGAACUUUGGCAAAGUUAUCUGUGGUACCCAUGAGCUACUGUUGCGUGUGGGAAGUGGGUGAUUGAACAGUACGAUUCAUGUGCUUUCUACUUCACCCAGAAAUCUUCGACAGAAUGCCCAUAAUUUCCGCAAAGCUGAGUGUGCGUGUGACAGGUGCUGACAAGGCUGGAAAAGUAGGUGCCUCUUCGAUUUCUGAGAUCGGCCCUCGUGGUCUCUGAGCAGCCCAGCUUUUGAGAAAGCAAGCCUCUUCGAUUUUCUGAGAUCGGCCUUCGUGGUCUUUGAGCAGCCCAGCUUUUGAGAAAGCAAACGCCUCUUCGAUUUCUGAGAUCGACCCUCGUGGUCUCUGAGCAGCCCAGCUUUUGAGAAAGCAAACGCCUCUUCGAUUUCUGAGCAGGCGCCUCUUCGAUUUCUGAAGCUCGUCGAGUGCAGAUUUUUAUAGGGGCUGACAUUAAGUUCCAAAGCACACUUGAAUAUCCACCAGUAGAAGCUCCAUUCUUGCACUUCUAAGAUCUUGAUUUGUCCGACCUCUUCUCUCUUCAACACCUUUGAAAAUGUCUGGCCCCUCCGACCGUCGUUUUGACUUGAACCUUGUUGAAGAGGCAGCCCCGCCUUCUCCAGACAACAUAUGGCGCCCAUCCUUCGUCUCCCCUACUGGUCCUCUUACCGUUGGGGAUUCCGUGAUGAAGAAUGAUAUGACCGCUGCGGUAGGUGGCCAGGAACCUUCUCACUCCCAAAGAUAACAGACUACUUUCCAAACGGUCUGAUGAGUUGGCUGUUAAGGAUUCUCUGGCUCUCAGUGUUCAGUGUGCAGGUUCUGUGUCUAAUAUGGCCCAACGCCUAUUUGCUCGAACCCGCCAAGUUGAAUCAUUGGCGGCUGAAGUGAUGAGUCUCAAACAGGAGAUUAGAGGGCUCAAGCAUGAGAAUAAACAGUUGCACCGGCUCGCACAUGACUAUGCUACAAACAUGAAGAGGAAGCUUGACCAGAUGAAGGAAUCUGAUGGUCAGGUUUUACUUGAUCAUCAGAGAUUUGUGGGUUUGUUCCAAAGGCAUUUAUUGCCUUCGUCUUCUGGGGCUGUACCGCGUAAUGAAGCUCCAAAUGAUCAACCUCUGAUGCCUCCUCCUUCUAGGGUUCUGUCCAGUACUGAGGCUCCGAAUGAUCCCCCUCCGGUGCCUUCUCUUUCUGGGGCUCUACCGACUGCUGAGACUUCUCCUAAGCAACCUUUGUGAAGGCUCCCUCUUGUUUGUUUAUUUUGACUCAAGUAUAUGUACAUAUUUGUAACUUAUCGGGGAUAUCAAUAAAUAAGCUUUCCUUCAUUUCAACGUAUUGUGUUAAAUACACCAAAGCCUUCUUCGCUAAGUUCUUUGAAUUUUCUUUUGUUGAAGCUUGUAUGUUGAAGCUUUGUGAGUGGAGCAUGUAGGUUGAGGUAGUGUUCCCUUAAUUUCCCGAGUGAGGAAAACUUCUCGGUUGGAGACUUGGAAAAUCCAAGUCACUGAGUGGGAUCGGCUAUAUGAAUCUUAGAACGCCAUUGUGUUCUGUCCUGUGUCAUGUCCUUCCGUUAGAUCCAAGUACUCUAAGUCUUUUCUUAGGGUCUCUUCCAAAGUUUUCCUAGGUCUUCCUCUACCCCUUCGGCCCUGAACCUCUGUCCCAUAGUCGCAUCUUCUAAUCGGAGCGUCAGUAGGCCUUCUUUGCACAUGUCCAAACCACCGUAACCGAUUUUCUCUCAUCUUUCCUUCAAUUUCGGCUACUCCUACUUUACCCCGGAUAUCCUCAUUCCUAAUCUUAUCCUUUCUCGUGUGCCCACACAUCCAACGAAGCAUCCUCAUCUCCGCUACACCCAUUUUGUGUACGUGUUGAUGCUUCACCGCCCAACAUUCUGUGCCAUACAGCAUCGCCGGCCUUAUUGCCGUCCUAUAAAAUUUUCCCUUGAGCUUCAGUGGCAUACGGCGGUCACACAACACGCCGGAUGCACUCUUCCACUUCAUCCAUCCAGCUUGUAUUCUAUGGUUGAGAUCUCCAUCUAAUUCUCCGUUCUUUUGCAAGAUAGAUCCUAGGUAACGAAAACGGUCGCUCUUUGGUAUUUCUUGAUCUCCGAUCCUCACCCCUAACUCGUUUUGACCUCCAUUUGCACUGAACUUGCACUCCAUAUAUUCUGUCUUUGAUCGGCUUAGGCGAAGACCUUUAGAUUCCAACACUUCUCUCCAAAAUGCGAAACGAAUAAGCCAUGAAUUUGCCACACUCUCCUGACUCCAAAUGGUAACCUCCACCCAAAACCCAAAAGAGAAAACUCUCUAAACCAAUGGUGAGGAGCACAAAAUAAACUAACCUAAAGUCCUAUUUAUAGUGCAUAGAACUUAGGUUAUAAUGAGAAUCAUAAUCCUAAUUGGAAGUAAAUCCAAAUCCUAAUCAAAUAGGUAAUUAACAAAAUCUCUCCACCAAGCAAGGAAUCCAACCAAGAAGUCAAACCCAAACCCAAAUAGGACACCAAAACAAAAUAGGUAACACAAACCUAAUUUCUACAUCAUCCUGUUUUUGAGCCGUAAAUCACAACAGUUAUUAGCUCCUCCAUAUUUCUUUGCUGGCCCUAAAUAUUUUCUCUCAGUCACACACACACUUACACACAAACCAAUAGGAGUUGACAUCCCAUCCUGCUCCAUGGAAUGUGCACAUGUUUACAACUCAAAGCCACUAAUAAUCAUCUUACAUGGAUAAUUUAUUAUGCAUUUGUAGCCAAAAUUAUCUCAUAUAUAAUAUUAAAAAAUACACAAGAUAGACAUACCAGUGAUGAUAAUUCAUUGAAUAAAAACAAUGAUCUUCAAAAUGCCAGCAAAAAGAUGAGAACAGCAUCCCAACAUACAGCCAAGGAACCAUAACACCAGCAAUGUUAUGAUGAACAGCUCUAAGCACUGAUCCUUUCAGUUUGGGUAAGUUAUUGAGAUUCCAUGGGCUACUACAAUAUUCAUCCCAUAUCUUGGCCUCAACUGAUUCUGGUUUCUGGUCAUUUACACGCGGAAACCCACUCCCAUACAUGGAAGUAUCCAAGUCACUGCCAUACAUAACUUCCACCUCACCGGCUGAACCCUCCACAAUUUCCCAAAACUUUUUCUCUAUUUGAACCCUUGAUGCAGAUCCUGACCCAAACCAUUUCCUCUUGGCACGAUUAGCCAUACGCCUAAAAACUUCCAGCGAGAACUGCUUACCAGGCACGAAGCCAAAACUAUCCUUGUCGGAAUUCAAGCAUUCCAAGCAAUACCAAUUCCCUGGCGGAACCUGCUUCAAUGGAGGAGACAGACAAUAAAUGUGCCACCCCUUAUUACACCUAUCACACAAAAGCAUCACUUCACCGUGCAAGCCACUUAUGCAUUGUUCACAUAUCUGAUCAUGCUCCUCAUCCUCCUUCUCUCCCUUACUGACCUUAACUUUCCCACCAUCCUUAGUGAUUCGCCUCCUUUUGGAGCUGGAACAUUCAAAACUCUGUUCACCCCUCUUCUCCACAGGCAUGUCCCUCUUAUAUCUUCUGGCCCCCUCUCUGUUCAGCUUGUUAUAAUACUUUUCAUAAUCAUACAAAUGGUCACGAUACAGUUGACACAAUACAUGCUUCGAGCACUCCGAAAUCCCUUUCACCAGCCUCACAAAACGAGCAACCUCCCCCCACUUCUUCCCCUUCAGAACCUUAUCAUACCCUCCAUAUCGCUUCACAGCAUUAAACAACUUACACAAAUCCAACUCCUCCCCUUGGAAAACCACCCUCUUCCGCAACUUCUUCCCACAACGGUCCUCCAAAAACCUAUUGUACUCCAACUCAAAAGUCUUGGAAUCGCAGGAUGCAGGGCGCACCUGCAGCUGGUGAAUGGCCUGCGUCUUUGUGGGAAAUGUAAACGAAUCCAAAUCCAACGCAAACGGGGGUUUCCAGCUCUUCGGUGGAACUAUCCUACAAAUCCCAUACGCCUCGGCCUCGGGCCUGAUCUUAUAAAUAUACUCCAAAGGGUCUCUAAAUUCAUCCUCAUUAGGGUAAUACACAGGUGCAGAUGGAAUAUUCAAUGAUCCACAUGAUGAAACACUCAAAGUUUGACCUACAACUCCCUUCUCCACAGCCCUAGGUUUUCCUUUCCCCAUUAACACCACCACACAGACAAACACAACCUAUACAUAUAACUACCUACAUAAACAUACAAUUAAAUUUGGAUUAAUUAAAUUAAAUUGAAUAAAGGUAACAUUGCAGUACUGAAAUUCGAAUUCGAGUGGUUUUAGGGUUUUGCAGAGCGUACCUUCGUGAUAAACUGAGACUGGCGAGUGUAUUUCAGAGAGAGAAGAAGGAGAGGGUGUGGUUUCUGAGUCUCUGCGAAAACCAAUUGUUAUUGAAAGGAAAGACGCAGAAUUAGAAAUUAGGGCCUGAAAAUGGUAAAAUUUACGAGAAUGGUAACUCUAUCUCUUGUAGUUGUUUUGUUUUUUUUUUAAAAAAAAGAUAAAGAGUUUCCUUUAAGUGGGCCUAGUCGUACUAUUGUCGUUGUUGUGUUUGUCUCGUUUGGUCUUUUUCCGCGGCUUGCAUCGGGAGAGGGUUGUUUGGGGAAUCUACACGCGCUGGGGGAUCGGGUGGCUGAGCGUGCAGUAUGGGAUUUUAUCGACGGUCAGCAUUCAGUCGUUUGGUUUUGCUCUUGGUUUGAGAGCGUGUUUGGUUGCACGUGUGUUGAAGCAACCGUACUGCUGUCCCAUUCCUCCUUUUGUCAAAGGCGUUCCAAUUGAGUGGGGCAGUUCCAACUUUAUCACAUUAUACCUACUAGCCUUUUUACACGCGCAAUUUUUUAUUAAGCAACGCUACGCAUGAUUUAAAUGUAUUUAUAUACGUAUUACCUUUGCAUGUAGAUUUGUCUUUUUUUAAAACCAAUGGCGUUAGUCGAGACUCACAGAUUUUUGUUUUAUUUUUGUGCAUUUUUAGCUAUCAGUUUAGCAAGAAAUUUUGUGUGCAAGAUUAACAUUUCCACUUUUUUUUAGCAAUCACAUUUUGGGCUAACUUUCGAGUCUGCUAUAGUUUUUUCUUUUAUUCACUCAAUGUGUACAUCUAAAAUUUAGUAUCUUUAUUGUGACGAAAGUGAAAUAAGAAUUCUUUAAGAUAUAGACAUCAUGGUUUGUGUAGUGAUAAAAUGAAAUAAGUAACAAAUAGUUGCUUAGAAAGUUUAGAAAUAACAUGAUAUUAGUGUAUAUCGUGUGGUAUACUUGAAUGCGAUAUCAUGCUAUUACAAUUACUUUGCCCAUUUGCCUAGAAGAGGAACAUGGAAAGAACCUGGUAUACUGGAUGUUUAACAUGAGUCCACUCCCCACUUUUCAUCUUUUACAUUAAUUAUCAAUUUAAUCAAACUAUAGUGCACAACAUAGUAGUCUUGUUUUAUUGUUCUUUACAUGCAACAACACAGUUCACAACGAAUGUACUUUGAAUAAUUACUUUUCCUACAACAAUUACCACAAUCUAGACCCUAACAACUCAUCAACACAUUGUAUGUACCGAGGUAGUAAAAAAAAACGACUACCUUGGUUGUUAGAUGUUUAAGCUAAUAAGCAAUUUGUAAGCUAAUUUGCAAGCCAAACAUCGAUAUUUCAAAAUCCCAUACAUUGGCCUUACCGUUACCAAUGGCCUCAAUGGUUUUUUUUUUUUUUUUUUUUUUUUUUGGAAAAGAGGAAAUGCAUUCCUAGGCAACAACCACCACAUACAAAGAAAGCCAGAGAAAACUGACCAACAUAACACAAGCAAGCGAGAAAGGGAAUAGAAAAGACACUACCAAACUAGGCUAACACGUCUUCCUCAUCCCAUAACAGUCCUGUCUAAGAAGGAGGACAUGGCAAACCAUCUUUGUUCAAAAUUCUUACCAACAAAGAUGGGGGGUUUGACGACCUAAACGGAAUCACUCAUCUCCACACCACUAAAUCUAGCGACAAACUUCGCCACUUCAUUCACUGAUCUUACCACCUUAGACCAAAUGCAAUUUUGAAAACGACACCCUAUUUGCAGUAUGCAACUUAAAAUAGGAUAUAUUUCCUAGCUGCAAUUUUCAGCACCUCCAUUUAAGUAAGAAAUAAUUUGUUUGUAAUCAGAUUCCACCACUAUUUGAUAAUAGUUGCUUUGUUGAGCCAAAAGACAACCUUCAAGGACCGCAAAAGCCGCAACCACAGUUGCACUGGAUGCAUGCACUCCCUUCCUUCCUUCUAACCUUUAUACACAUUUUCCUUGAGUCUCUCACAACACCUACAUAACCUACUGAAGCAUCUGCUUUCCAACUCGCAUCAACAUUAAUUUUUAUCAUUUGGGAGGGGGGUGGAGACCAAGGUCGAUCCCGCUAAACUAUUUGCCUUACUUCCCUCUAGGUUGAAUUCCCUUCCUUUGCCUUCAUAAACAGAGCAUAAGCACAUUGAAUGGCUUGAACAGUUUGCAUAGAAGAAAAAGGUUUGUGAUUAAAAAUGGACUUACAUCAAGUUUUCCAGAUGUGCCCACAAGUGAAAGCUAAUAGCGUUCGAAUUCUCGCCCUUUCCGCCUUAUCCCCGAAAUUCUCCUUGAACAUUUUUAAAAGCCAAGCAUCAAAAGUAGUAAUAGAAUUUUAGAAGGGGCCUCUAGUCCCCAAAUCCCUUUCCACACCUCCUGAUCAAUAUGCCUUGAAGAUGAGGGUCACGAAUUCAGUCUUAUGCAAUUAUUGUUUCGGAGCCAUUUAUAACUUGAUCUAGCAGAGUAAAUCCCCCUCAUAUCCGUAGGCCAAAUAAACCUAUCAUCCCUCAUGAAAUCACCCACAUGUAUACUAAAGACUAGCCUAUAGUCAUCUUCAGAGGUCAAAUUACGAAUUGGGUUCAACUCCCAACUUCCAUCCACCAUGUUAAUAACCGAGGCCAUAAGCAUUUCUCUGUCCACAUCUACUCCAUUAAGAGGAAUUGGAUGACCACAAUUAAUACUUGGAACCCAUUUAUCAACCCAAAUUUUUUUUUACCACUCAUAACUUGCCAAUGCGCACCUUUUAACAGCAACUCAUUUCCUUCAAGCAAGUUGGACCAAAUCCAAAAAGCACGCCCACCCUUCUUGGCUUCCAAAAAUGAGACAUGAGGAAAGUAUUGCUCCUUUAAUACCCGAGCCCACAGAGAAUUCGGAUCAUGGAUUAAUCUCCAACAUUGCUUGGCAAGAAGAGCAAUAUUAAACUCUUUUAAAUUCUUGAAUCUCAUUCCCCCCUUCACUUUUUGAAUAACCCAUAGUUUCCUAACUAAUGCAAUGAAUUUUUCUCUUGUUUUCUCUUUGCCCCCACCAAAAUCUAGCAAGGGCAGCAUCAAUCUCAUUACAUGAGGUAUCCGGAAAUUUGAAUAUGUUCAUUGAGUAUGCCGGCACCGCUUGAGCAACCCCCUUAAUCAACACCUCAUGUCUGGCCUGAGAAAUGAACUAUUGUUUCCACCGUCGUAUUUUCCUUAGAGCACGAUCUUUAACAUAAGCCAACGCCUCUUUUUUUUUAACUUCCCCAAUCUGUCGGAAUUCCAAGAUAUCUCCCUAGGUCUUCCAUUUGUGGCAUAUUCAAUAUUCUACAAAGUUCCUAGCAAACUUCAAUCGGUGUGUUAGCACUAAAAUAGACAACUGACUUUUGCAAACUAAUAUCCUGGUCGGAUGCAUGACAGUAGGCAUUGAGUAAAUUUAUAAUGUUUUGACAGUUAUUUCUUGUGGCCUUUAGGAAAAUCAAAGUAUCAUAUGCUAAUAAGAGAUGAAAGAGGCAUGGUCCAUUAGCAUUGAUCUAGAUUCCUUCCACAUAUCCCAUUUCAGUAGCAUUUCUAAUUAGGAGAGAUAAAACCUCACUAACAAUAAGAAAUAAGUAUGGUGAAAGUUUGUCACCUUGCCUCAAUCUCAUUUUCGGUUUAAAUCUCCUUCCAGAUGCCCAUUAAUCAAAAUCGAAAACUCCACCGCCGUAACACAAUUCAUCACCAAGCUUACCCAUUUUCUAUCAAAGCUUAUCUUCAUCUUGACAACCUCAAGGAAGUCUUAUUCCACCCGGUCAUAUGCCUUAUUCAUAUCAAGUUUAAUUUCCAGCUCAUACUUUAGCUUCGCCUUACUGAGCUUAAGAAAAUGAAAGACUUCAUGGGCAAUGAUGAUAUUGUCUUUAAUCUAUCUUCCUUCCACAAAAGCAUUCUGACAUGGAGAGAUAAUAUUAGAAAGUAUGGGUUUAAGACGAUUUGCUAAAAUCUUCAAAAGUACCUUGUAGGAUGGCUCACCGAUUCAGGGUUUGGUAUCUUCUAGAUUAGAACAAUAUUGGUGGAAUUUAAUUUUUGCAAAUUUGAUCCACCAUUUAGAAACUCAGUGGACAAGCCCUUGAUCUCCGCUUCAAUUAUAUCCCAGAAAGAUUGAAAAAAUACACCUUGGAACCCAUCCGGCCCUGGAGCUUUUAGGCUUCCCAUUUGAAACACAACGUCUUUAAUUUCCUCUUCCUCUGAUGGUCUAAUCAACAAUUCAUUCAUCUACGGUGCAACUAUUGGUUCAACAUAGUCUAAAAUAUUUCCCCAUUCACGAUGUCCACUUGUUGAGAAUAAAGUCUUAAAAUGGUUUCCACUAUUCCUCUGAUGCCUUCCUGAUCCCCUGCCAUUUUGAAUCUUUUCAAUUAUAUUUGUCCUCAUUUGCUGUAUAGUAGUUUGAUGGAAGAAAGCAGUGUUGGCAUCACCUGCUUGUAACCACUUUAUAUGCGAUCUUUGAUGCCAGAACUUCUCUUCUUGUUCUUCUAACUUCUCAAUACUCUCUUAAUAGCCUAUAUUUCUUCAAUAUUUUCCUCCCAGUUCAUUUGCAGGUUCCCAAGGUGAUUGGUAAGAUCUUCAAUCCUCAUUCUUCUAUCCUUAAAUUUCCUUUUGCUUCACUCCUUCAGAUUAUCUUUACAAAGUUUUAAUUUCUUCUGCCAUUUAUUUAACUAUCCUCCUUCAAAUUGAUUACUCCAACUUCUCUCCACGACCUCUCCACAACCGUCCUCUUUAUCCAAAAUGCCUCAAAACGGAACAAACGUUGUCCCUAAAUUUUGCCUGGAUCAGUAUUAAUAAUUAUAGGACAAUGAUCAGAAGCCCUGACAGUACCAUGAACAACAAUCGUAUUCGGCCACUGAAUCUGCCACUGAGCAUUAACCAAACCUCUAUCAAGUCUUUCCUACACCAAAACAUUAUUCCACAUUCCCCGCCAAGUGAAUCUUGGACCAGAGAACCCAAGGUCAAUUAACUCCAUUUUCUCCAUGAAAUCAUGCAAGAACUUGGAUCUUAUAUGCAGCCUCUCUCUUCCCACAGUUUUCUUAUAGUCUCACAAUAUUUCAUUCAAAUCUCCCCCACAAAACCAAGGAAGAUCACUAGCUUGAAGCACAUCCAUUGCCCACUUCUAAAAAUUUGCCUUUUCUUCUUUAUAUGGGUUGUCAUACAUCCAUGUAUUUUUGGUCCUAUCACAUUCAACCUUAAUCCGCAUCACUGUAUGAAUUAAAUUCUUUGAAGAAAACAAAAUAUUUACCUCCACAUACACAUUCCACCAUAAGCUAAGUCCUUCUGCAACUCCAAUCGGGGGAACAUCAAACCCAUUUUUAUACCUCAUUCGCCGUCUAACACCUUCAAUCAUGUGGUUUUUCAUCUUUGUUUCUAAAAGAAAAACCAUAGCGGGUCGAUAAUUCCUCACAAGCUCGUGUAAGGUUCAAAUUAUCGUGUCCGACUCGAGGCCACGAUAGUUCUAUAUAAGAUAAAUCAUGGCAACCUUACGGCUAUUUCAGGCCAGCUGCCACCGCCCCGGGUUGUCACUCUCAUUUUUCUGGUUCUUAGCAUCUUCGUUUCUUCCUCCACAAUCUAUUCUAAAUAAGCCCAAGUUCUCUCCUGACAAAUUGUAACCUCCAGUAAGUCAUCCUGAACAUAUAGACUUCUUUCACCUUUUGCAACACGACUCAUUCUACCUCGUCCUCGUCUUUUCAAAGAACUUCCUUGUACUCCUUUUGACUUUUUUGUUGGUGGCUAAUAUCUACUAGUUCCCACACCAUCAGUCCUUAUUUUCAGUCUCAUUCCCACAAGAAGAUUUUCAACUUGUCUAACCUCCCUCUCUCUAAAUUGAAAACUUUGUUCUCUCUGCAUAAUAGCCCUAGAAUCUUGAGACAUUUGGGCUUGUGGAUCAUCCACUACCGGCAUCACCUUUGUCUGGCUUCGAGAUAAGUUCUUAGUUGGACUAUUGUGAUUCAGUGGUACUAACCAAUUAUCACACUCUGUUGGUCUAGGUUGCCUAUCAUUCAUAUUAGCAUCUCCUUCGCAUCUUAUCUCUUGAAUUAAGACCCAUCUUGACUGGGCCUGAUUUAUUGACCAAAAAACAAGCCAGGUUAGUCCACCAAGCAACCCAGAACCCUACACCAUACUAUGCCGCCCACUUGAUGAGCUGGCAUUACUUGCAACAUGGUGAGAGCCACUUCCAGCUUCUUCCUGUUGACUAGCACCCAAGAAAAUUCGAGAUUCAUUCCUUGUACUCUGCACCUCAUUUUGUCUCUCAUUCUUUUCCAUAGGUUUCCCAAUCAUGUGCCCACUGCUUCCACUCUCUCCACCGCACGUGUAAUGUCCUUCCACCUGAGAGUCCGUUCUUUGACUUUCUAUACUCCUUCUUGCUUGUCUGCGUUCCCCCAGAUACAUUACCAUCUGUCUUGGCACAUCCUGCAUCUUUCUAAUCAUCUUCAUUUUGGUCCACUCCCCUAGCCUGCAGAUCUACCCCAAUUUGGCCGAAGUGAGCAAUCCGUGUUCACAUGACCAAUUAUGUCGCAUCUAUAGCAAAAGUCUUGGAAACGUUCAUACCUAAGCUCAAUCCAUGUAUCCCUGUUUCUAGUUCUAGGUAACCAAACUUCAGGUACCAAAGGAUUUUUGUUAUUGUUGCAAAAUUUAAACUAACCAAAAUUAGUCCAACUUAGUUCCAAAUUGUAUGCUCGCAAGUGUAUGAAUCGUUUGAUAGUAUAGAAAGCAAGCACUUAAUAUCGUCCCUCAGAAAAGGAUUUAAUUCUUAUCAACUAACUUAAAUCCAAUUACACGAAGUAAAAUUAGUAAAGAUUGAUGAAAGAUGGACUUGAGAAUUGAAAUUAAUAAUAAAAACAAAUGAAAAUAAGAAAGUUUGAUCACAAUGCACAAAGUGGCAUCCAAGAAAAACAAGUUGUAAUUCAAUUGAGUAAAACACUAGAGCGUUCGAUUCACCAUAACCAAUCCUACUUAUUUCUUGCCACAAAUUAUUAACAAGUAUUCAAUCUCAUUGAUAGUCAAAUUUCCCUAAUUCAUGUAAUAUCUAUGGCAUCUAGACUAUUACGUAUAUCCCAAUUUGCAACCAUCCAUGGCAUCUGGAAUAGCUUAACAUCAUGAAACUCAUUAUGAUCAGUGGAAAUUUAUAUAAAGACUAUACAAAUCCCAGAGUAUGGCAUCUACUACUAGGUAAUUUAUGGUAUCUAUUUGCAAGAAGCUAUCACUCAAGUUGAAAACAUGGCAUCUGCACAACUUGCAUCAAAUUUACCAAGUAAAAGUCAAGAUGGUAGCUAAUCACCAAGAUUAAAACCAAGCAUCUAAGCAUAGCAAACGAUACUCAAUGAAACUGAAAACUUGAAAUAAUUCACUUGAGAAUAUAAGCAUUCAUAGUCAUGGCUACAUUGGCUAAAGAAAAUUAGUUCCGAAACAUAAUCGAAAAUAUUAUUGAAUUCAUAAUAAAAAUGAGAAGAAAAUUGGGUUUAGAAAAACACUGUAAACUCCUCUGCUAUGCCGUAGCCUUUCUUCCUGCCAAAUCUCGUCCUCUGUGUGUCUCUGCUGCUUCUGUUUUCAUUUCCCUUUUUUUUCGUAACCGACGACGGCUUAAAAGCCCAUUUAUUGAAAACAUUAGAAGAAAAGAAACGGAAGAAACCUUUUAACUCUUUGCCAGACACUUUGUGAAAAUUGAUCAAAGCUUGAAAAAAUAGAAUGCCUAAAUCAUACUCAAGUUGGUCUACUUAUUGCAGCGAGGCCUCCAUAUUGUCCUUUUCUACCCUACUAGAUUCCAGCUGGGAAUUUCAUCUCCAAAGUGAUAUAUCAACCAAAUUUGAAAGUACCCAAAUCUCCAUUGCAAUUAAUGAGAAUUAAAGAUAAAAAAAUGCCCAAUUCAUGCUACCAUUGCAAACCCAACAAACUGGAGAGUGGAAUAGAAAUAUGGGUUUUCAUCCCUCUUCAAUUUUGAUAAGUUGUAGUGCACCGGCUUGCUUCUGGAAAUUGGGAGAGAAAACCAAUCCUUUCUUAUGUCGGUGCAAAUAUGAGGGCAUUUGUUUUGUUGAAGCGGUCACGUGACGGUCAUCCUUCUAUAGUGCAAUAAGGAACCUGAUUAAAAAUUGAAUAAUAGGAAAUGAGUCUACACAGGGACCCAACUGGAUAAGUCAAAGUAGACUAACAAAUGAUAAAUACAAAUAGUUGUCUAAAUACCAUUUUACCAAACAUGAUUAGACACCACCAAACUAACAUGAAAAUCACAAAAACAUAGCAUAAUUUUCCAUAUCAUUAAUCUAAUCUUAAAAACACCAAAACAUGCCAUUUCUUUCAUUUAAAUCCAAAAUUGCAUCUAAGAAAUUAUAGUUUUUAGAGUACAAUAGAUGAUAAAAUAUGCACUCGUCAGUUAUUGACCAUAACCCUCACCCGUAGGAAUCCUCUAGCAUAGGCUAAGUCUUCAAUUUCCAAUAACUCUCCAAUCCCCCCAGCAAGUCUUCUAGCACUUUCCUCCAUACAUAGAUACAAAGGGAUCCCAUUCAUCUGAACCUAGAAAGACACCAUCUCCACUUGAACCUCCUCCAAAGCCAAAUCGUUUGGCCAUUGUUUAACUGGAAAAUUCUGUUUCAUCACUGCCCAGGGGACCUGCUCCAAUAUUCGUGAAGCCAUUUCUUCAUCCCUCACUAUAUAGAACAUAAGAUAUUCUAAUUAUAAUGCCUUCUUCAGAACUCAAAAUCUUAUCUUUCCUCAACUGAUUAUGAUUGUUGUGCCCUUGAACAAUACAACCCCAGAAAAUGGACUUGAUAAAAAAGGAUAGCAAGAUCUUAGCAAUUAGUCAUGAACUGACCUGUUUACCUUGAGAAUAACCAUUGGGUUUGGAAAUAGUAAUUAAUUCCAGCCUGCUAGUAGGUAGAGGUCCCAUCCAGGGAUUUAUUAUCCCUGUCCGAAGCACAGUGAACCAAACUCAUUUGAUCUGAACUAAAAAAAGGAAAGCAUAAACGAAGAAUUUACAGGGAAAGCAACGGGAAUAACAAGGAACCAAGAAGUGGAUUGCUUGCAAUUAAUGAGAAAGAUUCAGAGAAUUGAUUGCGAGUAGGUAGCAGAGAGAAGGGGAAAGUUAACUCUCACAACCAAGAGAAAAGCUCUCACAAAGAGAGAAAUGCUCCCACAAAGGAGAGAAAAUAUUUUAUGGCCACAAUGGUUUGGUUGUUGAUUUACAAAAUCACUCAAAGCUUUGCACUCUGUUUCUUCUCCAACUGUUGCAAAUAACACGCAUAGAAUUAGAAUAGUCUGGAACCUAUAAAAAAGAGAAUGAGAGAUAAAGAAGUUAAAAACUGUAAAAAGGACAUGAAUGGUUAGCAAACUCCAUUUGGAAGCCUUACUCACAAAGCCAAUGCCUUUCUUUUGCAUCAGGAAACUCCCCAAAGUCUGUUAAGUUUUUUUCUCGAGUAAAUUUUUCUCAUAAAGGAUCUCUUCUGGUUCCUCAAUCUUCGGAGAUGUUUCCAAAUGGCCUAAAACUUGAACUCUGAUGUCCUAAUUGGAAUGAAUUUUAUGCGGAAAUUGAACAUAAACAAAUUGUGAAUCUUAAUUAAAAAUAAACAUACAUUUUGUUCUACUUACCAGUUUGUGAAAUUUGUUGCUACUAAUGGUGUUGAAUAUCCUAUCUAUAACAAUCUGUACAAAGGUUAAUGAUCAAAUGGCACAAAUACGUGUUACUUCCUACACAUGUGGGCAUCCAGGCGUCCAUUUUGGAUACUAUCAAAGAGAAAGGGUAGAGAGAGACAAAAACAUAUACUCCUACCUACAAUUAAAACCCAUUGAUUGUAAUGAAAAAUUCAAAAGAGCAUACCUCAGUUAACCCAGUAGUAAUGACUUCGAUCGACACAAACGUCCGAGUUUAAAUCAAUCCAAUACCUGUUUCGCAGUGACAAAAUGUGUAAAAAAACUGUAAAUGACCAAAAAGCAAAGAAGAAGCAUUCAAGAGAUUAAGGCGAAGGAAGUGAUAAUCUAAAAAUCCAGAGAAGGUUGGUCGAGGGACAUCCACGAAAUACUUUUUUGGGUCAAAAAUUAUCACGCAUCGGACCCAUGGUUGGUGGAAAAAUAAUAACCCCGCACCUAGUGCGCGAGUAAAAGAAAAACAAGCUUCUCUUAUAAAAUAACUCCAAAAGCCUUAUAAGGUGUACAAAAUAAUAAAAUAAACUCUUAAAUUUCUCAUCUAACACAACCUCAGCUCGUCUACUCUUCACCAAUCUUGUACCAAGCCUACAAGAUCUAAAAUGUAUAGGGUGAGCGAAACCACAACUCAGUAGGGACAUAAGUCUUAUCAAGGAUAAUGUCAAGGCUAAACCAAGUGUCAUGCAACACGUUAUCAAUUAUAACAUCUUAUCAUUAAUCACUAUUUAAUUGAUAAACCAUGGAUGCAACUUAACUUCAAUUACCUAACCCGUUAAUCUAUAUAAUAAAACAAGCAGCAUGUCUCAUACCAUGCAUUUUAGCACUACAACAGUCGUCCGAAUACUCUAUUAUACAAACUAACCCCCGUAACUCAAUCAUCUCAGAUACCCCAGUUUGUUGGUCAUAUUGUUCUCUUCUCGGUUGCCAGAGUCCCAUUACAUCAUACGAUUCCUAUAAAUUCACUUUUACCACCCGUCCCUACAAGGGUCAAACUCAACCACACAAAAGAUAGUUCCAUUUCAUAUCCCAUUCUCAAAUAAACCAAUAAAAUUCAUCCGCUCCAAUAUGAAAUGAUAUCCAUACAAUCAACAUUAUUUCAAUAUCCACAUUAUAAAAUAUAAAAAAAUAGUACGUAAUAUGAAUCAUAUUCCAGUAUACAUAAUUAUAUCAAUUAUAGAGAUAGAUCAAGUGUAACACAUAUUUCACAAAGUGAUGGUGCAUAUUUUCAUAUAUUUUUAUCAUAUACUUCCUUUGAAUUUUGUAUAUAUGAAUGGGUUAAAUGCACUAAUUUAUAUUGUUUUAAUUUAUAGGAAUUCAAUACGGGAAUUAUGUGAAAAAGAAGUGAAAAAUGGAGAUUUCGAGUGUCUAGAGUAAUUCCAGUCCCCGUGGAGCAUGAGGCUAAUUAACUGCACCAAUACAUAUGCAUUACAAUAAGAAGAUGAGAUUACAACGGUUGUGGAAAUCAAAUGGACAUGGGAAGCUAUUCAAUGGAUUUUAGGAUAGACAUGAUUGUUUUUAUGAUUUCCGUUUAAUUUCUUUUUCUUUAAUUAGGACUUAAUGUCCAAUAAGGGCUAGGUUUUUAAUUAGGCUUUAUGUUGCCCCUUUGCCAUGAGUUAUAAUGUGGAUAUUACUUCUCCUUAUUCAUUCAUUCAUGAAGAAAGCAACCAAAACAUAUCACACUUUACCCCGCCGGGGGGGGGGGGGGGGGUGGCUGCGGCAAGGAAGGCUAGGAGGAAGAGCUAUUUGGAGCUCUUCUUUGCUAGGGCUACGAUGUAGCUUAAUCAUAAAUACUUAAUUGCCCUGUGACAUUGUUGUUAUCAUGUUUUUCUUCUUUAUUGAGUAUCUUUUGCUAUUCGUAAUAAGCUUGAUUUUUAUUUAGAUGCUUGAUCACCAUCUAGGUUUAAAUUAGGUUGAUUUGAUGCAAGUUAGAGUAGAUGCCAUACUUAACUUGGGUUUAGCUUCUGGCAAUUGAUACCAUAAACACCUAUUUGUAGAUGCCAUACAAUUAGGGUUUGUGUGAUUUUCCAACUAUUUCCUUAGAGCUAAAUGGGUUCUUACUUGUUUAAAUCCAUCUAGAUGCCAUAGAGGGUUAACAUAUAAGGAUACUUUUGAUGCAACCAAAUGCCAUGGUCAUCGAAGAAUUUAGGGAAAAUCAAUCAUCAAUAUUGGGGAACUACUUAAGCAUAACAUAUUAAGGGAAUUAAGUAGAAUUGGUUACGGUGAAUUUGGAUGCCCUAGGUUUUAUUUUCUUAUAUUUUUAAUUUUAUUAUUUCAUGCAUUUUAUUUUCAAGUCAUAUUUCAUUUUUAGUUUAAUUCAAAUUUUCUCUCUUUUCCAUUAAAGCUUCCCAAUUAUAAUUUGUUCCAAUUUAGUUAGUAAGACUUUUAGAGUCAAUUUGAUCUCUGUGGGAUGAUAUCCGUGCUUAUAUGCUAAACUAUCAUUUGAGUUGUAUACUUGUGAGCACAAAAAUUAGAGACUUAAUGAGCCUAAUUUCGGUUAUCUAAUUUUUGCAACAAGUUUUCGGCGCCAUUGCCGGGGAUCGAAUUUGAUUCUAUUCCUUACUUAAUUGGAUUGUUACAUUUUUUUUAGUUGGUUUAGCUUUAGUGUUUAUUUUUAGUUUUUUUUCAAUAAAAAAAUUAUUCUCCUAAGUCUCUUGUUUAGCUUACCCAUUGUUUUAUUGCUUUUGCAGAAAAAUGGAGCCACUUUACCUUGUUGCCAAUACAAAAUUCAAGUUUGGGCGUGGAUAUAUCUACAUCUUCGAUCCACUUUUCCUUUAAACCCGGAAAGUUUCUUAGUCCAAGAGCUUUAAUUAAUUUUUUUUUGUACCUUUGUUGUCUAUUUUAUUAUUCCUAUAUUCAUUUGUUUCUUUCUUUUUGUUUUAGUAUUAACAAAAAUUAAAAAAAUUAAAAAAAAAAAAGUUAUAUACUUUUGAAAAAUUCAAAAAUAUUUUAUUUUUCUUUUAGUCUUGUUGUUAUUGGCUACUUCCUAACUCAAUUAAGAGAUUUGGUCUCAAUUUUCUCGCAACUUUCAAGAAAUUUAAGCUUGACAUUAGUUUUUUACAUUAUCUUUGUUUUAACUAUAUUUUUUUUAUGAUCAUGACUUUGAAAAACAAAUGCACAUUGCCUUGUUGAUGUGAAACUAGAGCAUGAUUUAAAGCUUCAUAUGUGAAUCGAGUGAACUUAUGUAAUCCUUGUGAGCUUUUGAGCCUAUUUUAUGAUUGAACUGCUAUGCAUGAAUCACAUUUAUUCUUGUGCGUUUGAUCUCAUUUUUACAUGUAUCUCUAGAACUUGCUUUAUACCUCUCGUUGCAUUCAUCAAUUCAUGUAAAAUAUUGGAAGUGAUUUAGACUUUUUUUCUUCUUCUUUUGUUUGAUCCUUUCUAGCCAACCCUUGUUAUUAUUUUCCCUAGUUAGCCUCGUUGAGCCUUUAUAUAAGCCUUUUUGUUCUUAAACCUAAAUAUUCCCCACCUAGCCUCAUAUAAAAUUUUCGUACCCUUUUCUAAGGAUUUUGUAGAGCAAUUUUAUAAAGAAAGAGAGUUCAACAUUGUUCAUGGUUAUUGGUUAAUGAAGCAAAAAUAGUGAAAUGAAAAGUAAAAAAAAAGUUGAAAAAGAAAGUAGUACUGUAAAAAUAAAAUAAAAUGUUUGAAAAAAAAAGAAGCUAUAUGCGGCAAGAAGAAAAGAAGAAGAAAAAAAAGUGUACAGUUGUGCUUAAGUUAUAAUUGCUUUCAAGUUAUUUGAAUUUCUCUCUAAAAGGAAAAUUUGGAGUGCUCUACAAGCUUCUUAGAUCUUCGUUUUUCCAUUCCAUUUCUUGUUUAGCCACUUAACCCUUAGCCUCAAUACAACCUUGUGAAAGACCUUUUGAUCCAAGAAAUUACUUGAUAUUGAUAGCUAGCUAGGUAGACAAGCAAGCAUAUGGCGAGAUGUACAAUGAGAUCUUUUGAGUGAAACACAUUAACCUACAAAUAUGAGUGAAUGAGUGUAUGCCUUGUGAGAAGUUCACUUAUUUGCAUAUGAUGGUUCUAAGAAACUUAGAAUUGCAUUGACAUGGCUAUUACACGCACUACACUCCAAGUUGGUUCGAUUCAAAUUUGUUAGGUUUUAGAUAAUGAGAAAAUGUGACUCUUUAAAAAUUUUGUGCAGCUUUCUUUUAUGGGUGGUGAAUCUUUUGCUUCAAAAGAAGGUAUGUGUUUCUCUAUGACCUCUCUGUUUCUCAAAACUUGGUUUUUGUUAAUCUCUAUUUUGUUGCAUGUUAAAAACGGCUAAGUUGUGAAAAAUAAUGGUAAACUCGAACAAGUACUUUAUGCUUACUGCUCCUCUGUGUUUCAUUUCCAAUUACAAUAAGAUUAUUUUGUUGAAUUUACUUUGAUUAUCCUUUUUACAGAUUUCAAAAAUUAAUUUGAUUAUACUUGUUAAUGUUUUAUGAUUGGUCGUUAUAUAGCUGAUUAAUUGUUAAUUAAAUUCAACUUUUUACUUUUAAGUUUUUAAGAAUCCAUAUAUUUUGCCAAAUUGCAAUCUAAUUUGGAUUACAUAUAAUCCUACAUGAUAUUAAUGAAGUAUCAAACAAUUAAUGUUUGUGAUGAAAUGGACGUUUUGAAUAAUUAUUUCACGCUCUUGGCCUAAGAUAGGGAGCUUAGUUGGAUUGGAUUAUGGGUUUAAUUAGGGGUGGGUUCAAAAAACUGAAAAACCAAAAUAAACAGGAAUGAAGACCGAACCGAAAUAGAAAAACCGAAAACCGAAAAAGAAAAAACCGAACCGAACCAAAUUUUAUUGGUUCGGUUUCGGUUUUGGAGGUUCGAAAGCUGAACUGAACCAAAUCAAAUUGAAUCCCUUUACACUUUAUGAAUGUAUAUCCAUGAUGUUGUUUGUGAAACUUUGUUGCCAAGUUUGAAACUAAGACUAUGGUUUUUUCAAGGAGCAUACUUAGUUCAAUUAGUGAGGAUAUUUUAUUGGUUAUAGAAGAAAGUUUUGGAAGCUUCAGAACUUGGAAGAGCUUCUCUAUUUGUUUGCUUUUAGAUUGGAUACAGUGAUUGUUUUUCUUUGCAAUUAAGGUUGUUGAUAGAAGGAUUGGUUUAUAUUAUUUUGUAUACGUAUAACUACCUUUCCUCUUUCCCCAUUUUCUUAUAUUAGUCUACCAAUGUAAGCCUCUUUUCUAAAGUCCAUAUUAAAAAAAGAUCAAGUUUUAUAAAAUAAAAUAAAAAACCAAAACCAAACCGAAAAAACCAAAACAAAAUCGAACUAAACUGAACCAAACUGAAACUUGGGUUCAGUUUUAUUCUUGGCAAAAAACCGAACCGAACGAAACCAAACCCACCCCUAGGUUUAAUUGGAUUUCCUUUUGUUUGUUUGCUGAUGGCACAAAGUUGUGGUUUUUGCUUGAUCCAUUGUCUAGUUUGUAAAAUGAUGUUUGGAAGGUAUUUGAUUUUGUUUCAGUUUCUACAUUAAUAGUUGAGUAAAGAUUGCUUUUCUUUAAUUUGAGUGGCUCUAAGUGUUUAAUUAACACACAUACUGGUAAAUUACUUAAGGAGAAUGAUCCAGAAGUGGGUCACAAAAAGAUAGUAACUUCACUUGCAAAAUCUGUUUAUGGUUUUUCAUUUCUCACCAGUUUGCUAGAUAAAUUUGCCAAGGUAAUGCAUCUCAUAAUUUCCGUACUUUGUUUCUUGAUUUAUAUGUAGGUUUCAUGAUUUCACUGAGUUUUUUAAAUGUGAAUGUAGAGUACUAUUUUGCAAUUUCGAUUUUCGUGUUGAUUGUAAAAUUUGAAUUUUUUUUUAUGUGGGUGAUUGAAUUUUGUUUGCAUUUAACACAAAAGUAAUGAAAUAAGAUUGAAAAAAAUGAGGUGUUUCUAUCAAGAAAUUAUGUUUUAGACAAAUUUUAUGCAAAAGUUGUUUCAUUUGUUUGUGUAGUUUCGCAUCAAGUUAAGUUCUACUGAGCUUAUAAAUUUCAUUAUUUGGAAAUUCUCUUUUCAUUACUUUCCCAUUUUAGGGUGAAAUGGCUUUUUUGCCCUAAUAUCCCCGUGUAUCAUACAUUUAUCCCUCGGAUAACCCAACAUUAAAGUUCUCAUGUUCCAUGAACAUUUCCAAAUAAUCCAUAUAUCACCACAUAUAAUAACUCCGAAAAUAUUUCAACAAAUUUAACAUGCUUGACUUGAAAUAGAGAGAGAUUUGAAAAUAGAUAAAUCCCACGAUAUAUGUGACAAUCCGUCCCAAAUUUUAUUAUUUUAUAAAUUUUAAAAUGUGAAUUUAUGAAAAAUACCCUUAGAGGCGAGGGUAUUGACUUUCGUGGAUCAACAUAUAGUGAAGUGUAUGAAUUAAUCCUUUAGCGUUUUCCUUAAGUACUCGAGAGGUAUUUUGGUUUUAGUCACUAUUUAUAUAUUUUCGUAUAUUUUUAUAAUGUUUAUAAUUAUUUUUUCAUUUUUAGUUAUUUUGAAAAGAGGAAGAAGAGGGGAAGAAGUGUGGGGAACGGGAGAAGGAAGAAAAGAAAGGGCUACUGCCCAAUCAGAAAAUGGAGAGAGAGAGGAGGAGGUGACCAACCAGAGAAGGGAGAAAGGAGGGAAAGGAGGAAGAAGAAAAUGAAAGGGAAAACCGGGUUUCCCCCUUGACCCGCUCGACUAGACAAGCACUCAGCCAACUUUGGCCAUUUUUCCGGCAAUUCAAACCUUCCCACUACUUGCAACCUACUCCAUAACCUUCCCUCUUCCAUUUCCACCCAAAAUUAGAAGGAAAUUGGUCGAAGUUUGGUGGAAAAACCACCAUGGGUGCUGCGGGAAAGGUUACUCGAAAUCCACCCAUUUGUGAAACAUUUUCCUUCAAUUACCACUACCAAAACACUCCCCUAAAACAAGGAGCAAAGCCCAAGCAAUGGUGGAAGCGUCAAAGCAAGUUUGAAGGUCGAAUUGAAUCACACCCAAUUCUAGGAUUUCAUACGGUUUUAGCAAAAUUGGAGCCUUUCUAGGCCAAAUGGGACUUUUCAAUUUAUGCAUCAUAAUUUUCUCAUUUAUUCAGCACAUUUCAGUUCAUUCUUCUUCGUCAAUUUUAAUUCUUGUUUUCUUACUUUCAAUCUCAUGUUCAUUAUCAUAAUCAUUUACUUAAAAUAAAAUUGGCAAGAAAAAUUAUCAAUCCCCUCUAUAUAUGUUUAUUUUCAAGAUUUGAUCAAAAUGCUUUGACUAAUAGACACAUCAACAUUUUUUUAUUUAUUUAAAUUACAUGUCAUUUUUGUGUUUUUUAAAAACAAAAUAAAGAUAGUAUAAAUUCAAUUCUAAAUUUAUCCUUUUAGUUAUUGGAUAAUUAUGUAUACCCUUAUCUUGUGGCUAUUUAUUAACUUAUGGCAGUAAUUGAAUCCAAUUAAUGUACGACAUGCAUAAAUCAUUUUCACAAAAAAGAUACACAAAUUAUUGGUGAUAGGACGGCUUAACGAAUCAUAUUGAAAUUGCAAAAGCCCUUGAAUAAGAUUUGAUGCUCUAUAGAGUACGGAGUACAAGUUUAAUUCCAACAAAUAUGUGUAAUUAUGAAUUACCACCACCAAAGGACCCAAUACAUCAAACCACCUAAAGGCAGAAGCAACAUAAUUGCAUUUUCAAUUACAAUCUAUAAAAUGCAUAUUAUAGCUUAGCCAAUCCAAAAAAAAGCACAAACUAACACGGAUGUUCAACAUAAUUUGAAAACCAAACACAAGUUAACUGUUAUGGUAGAAUAAGUAUUUUAGCUUGCAUUUAGAUUAAAUUUACUUUACAUCAACAACCUAUGCACAAUCAAAAAGGCAGAUUUAGAAGUUUGACUUAACAAAAAAUGUAACCAUAAAAAAUAUUGUUUUAACCUAAGAAACUGAAGUAGCAUGCAGUUCACAUAUAUUUUGUCUGUCCAUACAACACGACAAAAUACAUGUCCAACAAGCUCUAUUAUUGCAUUAACGAAUGCAAAAAGAUAAAAAAAAAAUAUUUCUCACAGUGCCUGCAGUCCAUAAGUUUAGAAUUAAAAUGCCCAAAAAUAUUCACAUAUGUAAUUAUAUGCAACAUGCCGUCAUUAAUUCUUAAUAAAUCAUUUAUUUUUGGGAAUCAACAUCUCCAACAUUAAAAUGAAAAUGGGAGAGCAGUCUCAAUAACCGGUGAACGUAAAGAUAAUAUUUAGGUAGCCGGCUAAAUAAUGCACUACAAUUAUACUUUGACUUUUUUGGUUUACGACCUGCUUCUUAAUGCGCUGAUAUGAAGUUCAUCUGAAGGCUCUAAUUUGGGAACGAUUAGAUUGGAGAAUUCCUUUGAUAUUCUGGCUGAAUUUGCGGUUUGUGGUUGGCCCUCCUCACAUUGAAAUUGCAUACUAAGCGGAAUAUCCUGCAAAUAAAAAUUAACCUUGCACACGAGACUAGUCAAAUGAAUUAGUCAACUAGUUUCAAGUUAGUCAGUGAUAUAAACUGCAUAAGAACAAAACGUAACUGACCAAUAUGUUCAACUAAUUAGAGUCUGCCUAAAUUAGUUUCACAACAAUAAUUCCUAAGCUUAAACACAUUUACAUAUCAAUUUAUUAUGCAAACAGCAAUAACAAAGUAAUUAUGAAUUAAAGUAUGCUGGAUUGACUAGUCAAGCUCACUAGUCAACUAAAUACAAAUUCGUCAGUUAAUCAAACGUAAAUCUAUGAAUCAAACUUGGUUACAAAAAACUAGACUUCAAGUACUCAAGAUUCUCAUGUUCAAUUGUAUUGCUAAAACAUUAGAUUAAGAUUAGAUUGUAGUUACCACAACUGAAUAUAAACACUCUGUUUGAUUCAAAACAAUGAAAAAGAAAAGCUAAAUCACAGCAACACAAAACUAGAAUCAAAACGAAAGAUAAUUAAACCAAAAUCAAAGCUUGGAACUCAAAAUCAAACUUGCAAUUAGGUUGAUUAAAAAAAAUGAGACCAAGAGAGAAAUAUGGAAACAGAACUCUAAAUACCAAAAUAGAACCGUGAACCCUAAUCACCAAAUCAAAUUUUUUAACAACCCUUAACAAACAUAAUCCUAGGUUUUUGACCCAAAAAAAAAAAAACAUAAUUCCAUGAUUUCUUUAGUGUUUAAAACUAAUGUAACUAAGCAUCAAACAAAUACAAAAAGAGAAGGAACUUACAAUUAGAUCCCAAUCACAAAGUGCAAAAAACAUUUCUAAUCAAACCAACUCUAAACUGACCACUUUGGAGUAAAAUGAUUGAACCCAUUACCAAAAUAGAACCCUAAACCCUAAAUACCAAAUCAAAUUUGUUUAACAACCCUUAUCAAACAUAAUCCUAGGUUUUUUUUUUUACCAAAAAAAAAAAACACAAUCCCAGGAUUUCUUAAAUGUUUAAAACUAAUGUAAAAAACAGUUCCUAAUUAAACCAACCCUAAACUGACAGUUUGGAGAAGGAAAAGGAUUGAACCCAUUCCAAAACAUAACCUUAAACCUCUAAAGAAAUACAGAGAAUAGAGAAAGAACCUUGCAAUUAGAUCCCAACCACAAAAUGCAAAAAAAUAAAGUUCUUAAUCAAACCAGAACUAAACUGACACUUUAAGAGAAUGAAAAUGAUAGAACUCAAUAAGCAAAUUAGAAAACUAAAUUCAUUUUCCAUGUUUAUCUACAACAAUUACUUUUUGUAUGCAUGUCAAGUAUCAAAUAAAAAAGUGUGUUAUAGAAAUGGAAAAACAAAUGAAAAAUAGAGCCAAAAGUGACCAAGAAAUGCGUCUUUGUGUAGUUGCAUAAAUUACCAAAAUCAAAAGCAGAUAAAAAGCAAAAAUGGAAAAGCAACCAAGAAAUGGAAAACGAACCAAACAAUCAGAAGGCAACCAAGAAAUGAAAAACGAAAAUGAACCUGCAAUUAGGUUCCUUCAAAAUCAGAAAUGGCAGAAAGCAACCCACACAAAUAACAAUUUGUUCGUGGAGGGAAUUUCGCGGGGAAUGCUUCCUGGCCGACGAGCACACAGCUCCCCGAGAGGUUGGCGCCGGUUGAUGCUUUCUGUCGGGCUUCUGCUUUACUGGCGGGCUUGUCGGGCAAAGCCUAUCGGGCAAGGCUGAAAGAGAAGGACAGAGUUAACUUUGAAAUGUGUCUUUGUGGGGCCUUGAAUGUAGGCCUUGAGGCUCACGAUCAAGAUUAACUUUGAAUUGCUCAGGCGUGCCACUACCAUCUUCAGCAUGGUAGAUGUAGAACGGAUGUUUGAGUUUUAUUUAUAUAUAUUCGAGAGAUUAUGUUAGUUAUUGACAGGUGCCUUUGUGGGGCCUUAGGUGUAGGCCUUGAGGCUUCCCAUAAAUAACUAACUUAGUACUCAAACACAUAAGGUUCCUUUUAUGUGUUAUAUGGGUCUUAUAACCAUCAUACUUCUGAUUACCUGAACUCAAAUAGCAGAAUGAAUCCAAAUAGGUGCCUUUGUGGGGCCUUGAAUAGGCCUUGAGGCUUCCCAUCAGAACCCCUUCUAUACUCAAUGUUCUUGCCCGAGAAAUAGGAUGAAUCCAAAUAGGUGCCUUUGUGGGGCCUUGAAUAGGCCUUGAGGCUUCCCAUCAGAAGUUAUCCCGUACUUGAACGUUCUUGCCCGAGAAAUAGGAUGAAUCCAAAUAGGUGCCUUUGUGGGGCCUUGAAUAGGCCUUGAGGCUUCCCAUCAGAAUUCAUCCUGUACUUGAACGUUAUAUGGUCAUCAUAAUAUAACAGAAAUAAAACCAAGUGGUAGGUCGAUUAAUUGCGCCCCAAGUAACUUCGGACUUCUUGUUCUCAAAGCUUGUAGUGGAUGGGUUAAGUCCACAUCAGGUUCUUUUUUUAUGCCUUGAGGCCAAGGACAUUUUAGUGUGAUCAAAUCUUAUAUGCCCGAAGGCUUAAAACUUAGAUCUAGCUUGAACUGUGAAGACAUAUUCAAAUCGGAUUCAAGCGCUGAGAGAGUCUUUUAAUAGCCAUAUUACUAGAAAUAACUUAGAUACAACUUGAAGUAUACAACAUAUUGCUAGGCUAAUGAACGAAAAAGACAAAAAAAAAAAAGAAGGUCGGGUAAGGUUGAUCGUCUUGCAACUUCCUAUCUUUGUGGGUUAACUGAAGGUUUGAAGGCUUAGAUAAGGGGUUGGGAAAUGAGUUUGCAGAAAGAAAAUCAAUACUACAGCAGGUGUUGAACAGGGUAGCAGAGCUAUUACAAAGGGUUUAUCCCGAAAGGGAUGAAGGCUUGGACUGACUACAGCUUUGUUUUGAAGGCAAAUCUGGUUUUAAGCAAAGUUUGUGCUUUUGUUUGUUUGUUUAAGUGUCCUUGAUUCUGACUUCUCUUUCUCCUUUUAUAAACACCUUGGCUUAGCCUCCUUUAGCAAUAAUCUUGCCCGAAUGUAGUUUGAAGGAUAGUGACUCAUCAUCUAUUUACUUGUACUGCCAUUUAAAAGUACUUUUUGGGCUGAUUAGCUGGUUGGUCUAUACCACUUGGCCAUUGGGUAGGUGAGCAAGUAGUUUGCAUGGCCAGCACCUAGUCAGAAACGGGCUUCUCCUAUCUUAUGAACUUCGACUGGGUUUUGACUGGCCUUGACUGAGCUUCUUCCUUUUAGGCUGUUCUUUGGGCUAACUUCCCCCGGGCCCAAAGUUUAAGUUUUGAUCCAAACAGUGCCCCCUACAAUUGGUAUUUAGCUUGGAAUUCCAGGCGCCAAUAUUAAUUGAAAAGCUGCAUGCGUCUGCACCCUUGCUCUUGGAACUUGUAUCUUCUGGUGGAGAUUAACGCCACCCGGAGUCUCUCGAUCUUCCCACGACCCUUGAACUACCUUCCGACAUUCCUAUAAAUUCUGGUUCUCCCCACAAAUCAUCCUCGACCUCAUCCUUUAUCCGCUAAAGGGUAACUGUAACCAACACCAGGUGAAUGUGAUAUAUUCCAUAAGUGGUGGCACACUUAUAUCUAAAUCUUCCAACAAGGCCAUGAAAAAUAGUGAACGAGCUUUAAGGUCUGGCCACCAAUUGUUUCACGUGGAAGACAUCAGGGGAGGUAAGUAUCAAAAGCCUAACUAGGAUCCAAUAUGUUUCUACCCUGAAGAAAAAAGAGGUAUCAUCUGCCCUCACAACGACCCACUGAUUGUGGAAACUCAUAUAGCCAACUUUGAAGUACGACGAAUCCUGGUAGACACGGGGGCUUCGGUCUAUAUCAUGUUUGCUGAAACUUUCAGGGCACUUAAUGUAGUUGAACACUUGCUCGAUCGUUCGAUUUCCGCUCUGAUAAGCUUCUCCGGUGAUAUCGUGCAACCUUUGGGGAGCAUACACUUACCUUUCACCAUUGGUAUAAGCCCUUACACAGCUACCAUUACCACUAACUUCCUGGUGGUUGAUUGCCCAACAGCAUACAAUGUCAUAUUCGGACACAUAGACAUCAAUGAUCUCAAGGCCAUGGUAUCCACAUAUAUGUUGUUGAUGAAAUUUCCAACCCCCUAUGGCAAUAGUUACAUUAGAUGAGAUCAACUUAGUGCACGAUCAUGUUACAACACUUCGGUCAAGCAACAACACCUGCCUAUGCCCAAGGAAACCCUUUCUAUACAUGACCAAGUCAUAAAGACCAGCCCAGACGAAGCCAACUUGGAUCUCCACGAUAGCAACAAUCAACCCAACGAUCCUCGAGAUGACUCUUUCACCCAGCAAGCACAACCCGCUGAAGAGUUGGAGAAAGUCUCUAUCUCAAAAGAUUAUCCGGAUCGCAUGGUGAAGAUUGGUACCACCUUGUCACCACUCAUUCGGUUGGCAUUGAUCUCUAUUUUGCAAGAGAACACUGAGGUCUUCUCCUGGUUAUACGAGGACAUGACAUGCAUCUUUCCCGAUAUCAUCUGUCAUCGCUUAAGUAUUGACCUUAAGACCAAGACAGUGAGAUAGAAGCGAAGAUCUUAUGAUGUUGAACGGUACGAGGCAAUAAAGGCAGAAGUUGAAAAACUCAAAGGCAUAGGCUUCGUCCGCGAAGUCAAUUAUCCAACGUGGGUAGCAAAUGUUGUCCUUGUUAAGAAGAAUCCAACUAAGGAAAGUCUCCUGCUCUAAAAGGUCAUGUGGAGAAUGUGUGUCGAUUACACCGACCUAAACAAAGGAAGCCCGAAGGAUAGCUUUCCUAUUCCUUUUAUAGACAGACUUAUAGACUCUACGGUAGGGUGUAAACUUUUAAGCUUCUUAGAUGCUUACUUAGGAUACAGCCAAAUCCUCAUGAACCCUCCGAACCAAGAACACACAACAUUCACUACUUACAGAGGACUAUAUUGCUAUAAAGUUAUGCCCUUCGGCCUAAAGAAUGCAGGAGCAACUUAUCAGAGACUGGGCAAUUCAAUGUUCAUCGAACAGAUUGGGAAGAGCAUAGAAGUUUACGUUGAUGAUAUGCUAGUCAAGAGUAAACAUGCUGACCAACACAUCACCAACCUAUCUGAAACUUUCACCAUUCUGAAAAGGUAUCGAAUGAGGUUGAACCCCAACAAAUGUGCCUUUGGCGCAGGCUCUGGCAAAUUCUUAAGCUUCAUGAUAAGCCAACGAGGCAUUGAGGCUAAUCCCGAGAAGAUCAAAGCAAUCCUCAACAUGAAGGAACCAAUAACUUCAAAAGACAUCCAAAGCCUUACUGGCAAGGUGGCAGCCUUAACUGGGUUCAUUUCUAAGGCCACAGACAGAUGUGCUUCUUUCUUCAAAGCACUUAAGGGAAGUAAGAAGUACAUUAUAUGCACUGAUGAAUGUGCUGAGGCAUUCAAGAACCUCAAAGACUACAUGAGUAAAGCCCAUCUGCUCUCCAAACCUGAGGUUGGUGACACUCUCAUUAUCUAUCUAUCGGUAUCGGCUUCAGCAGUAAGUUCCGUUCUCAUUCGAAAGGAUGGUAAUGUCGAACGACCUGUCUACUAAGCUAGCAAGGCCUUACAAGAUGCGGAGACACGAUACUCCAACAUUGAGAAAUUUGCUCUAGCAUUGGUCAUGUUUGCUCGAAAACUUCGCCCAUACUUCCAAGCACACUCUAUCAUUGUGCUUUCCAAUCAUCCUCUUCGACAAAUACUCCAAAGGCCUGACACUUCCGGGUGAAUGAUUAAAUGGGCGAUAACAUUGGGUAAGUUUGACAUCUCUUACCAACCAAAGCCAGCUGAGAAGGGCCAAGCAGUAGCAGACUUCAUUGCCGACUUCACAUAUCCUGUUGACAUUGUUUCUACGCCUAAAGAAGUGGUUUCAUUACCCUCGGAAACUCAGAAAAUAGAACCAACAGCCUCAUCAUAGAGUCUCUAUAUUGAUGGCUCGUCCAACCAACAGGGUUAUGGAGCAGGACUAGUCCUUACGACCCCUGACAAAGUGGCGAUGGAGUAUGCUCUUCGUUUCAAAUUCAAGGCGUCGAACAAUGAGGCUGAAUAUGAAACCCUCAUAACAGGUUUACGUUUGGCCAAACACCUUGGGGUUAAACGAAUUGAUAUCUUCAGUGACUCUCAAUUGAUGGUUAACCAGGUCACCAACAACUUUGACGCUAAGGAUAGCUCCAUGGCAGUAUAUCUAACACAAACACAAUUGUUGCUCAAGCACUUCCACUACCAUAUCACCCAAAUUCCUUGAGCAGCAAACAGUCAUGCAGAUGCUUUGGCUCGCCUCGCCUCAGCGGUGGAAGUCAAGAUUGGGAGAAAAAUUCAGGUCGAAUUGUUGGCAGCACCAAGCACCAUGGCUGCGAAAGUGUGCAACUUACAACAAGGAGAUAAUUGGAUUACCCCGAUUUAUAGAUUCCUUGCUCAUGGCACCCUUCCAAAUGACAAAGUCCAAGCUAAGCAGAUUCGAUACAAGGCUACCCGUUACUUGAUAAUUAAUGACCAACUCUACAAGCGGGGUUUUAACCUACCAUACCUAAGAUGCCUCACUCCCACAGAGGCGGAAACUGUCAUUUGGGAAAUACAUGAAGGAGUCUGCGGAGAUCAUGCUGGAUCUCGAUCCCUAGCACAUAAGGCUUUUCGCCAAGGAUAUUACUUGCUAACACUCCACCAAGAUGCCAUCAGAAUAUCUCUCUCAUGUGAUAAGUGUCAACGCUACGCAACUAUUCCUCACUUCUCUCCCGAGCCGCUCACUCCUAUGAUCAGCCCUUGGCUCUUCGCCCAAUGGGGACUUGAUUUGAUCAGCCCAAUACUUGCAUGGAAGGACAAGGUUUGCUAUGCAAUCGUUGCAGUUGACUACUUCACAAAGUGGGCCGAAGUAGAACCCUUGGCAACCAUUACUGAGGUAAAAAUAGAAGACUUCGUAUGGCAAAACAUCCUUUGCAGAUUCGGCAUUCCCAAUGCGAUAGUCACUGACAACGGGUGACAAUACGACAACAAUAAGUUCAUGAUGUUCUGCUCUAAGUUCAUCAUCAACUUAUGUUUUGCCUCCCCAACUCAUUCCCAGUCUAAUAGACAAGUUGAAGCCAUCAACAAAAUAAUCAAGCGAACUUUGAAAACCAGCUUGGACAAGGCUAAAGGUUGUUGGCUAGAAUUUGUACCCUAAGUUCUUUGGUCAUACCGCACUUCGUAUCGGACAUCAACAAGAGAAACCCCAUUCUCACUUGCCUUUGGUACAGAGGCAGUUGUCCCAGUUGAGCUUGAGCAAGCAACGUUCCGAGUCCAGAACUACGUGUAAAGCAAAAAUGACAAACAACUUACCCUCAACUUAGAUCUAGUCGAGGAAAACAGAAACCAGGCUCACUUGAGGAAUGUCGCCUAUAAGCAGCGCAUCUCCAACUACUAUGACUCAAGGGUCAAACUUCGUUCAUUCAAAGUGGGGGACUGGGUAUUGAAGAAAAGAUUACUCUGCGACAGAGUCCCGAGUGAAGGAAUACUUAGUCCAAACUGGGAUGGACCGUUUGAAGUUGUUGGCAUCAGUCCCCCUGGCUCCUACAAGCUUAGAAGCUCCGAUGGCAAAACCCUUGGCUAUCCAUGGAACGCUGAUCACUUAAAGUACUAUUACAAGUAAACUCACAUUGUACAAAUGUUAAGCUUCAGUCGUUCGUUAUCCUAUGUAACAAAGAUUAUUAGGCAUGAAUUCAAUAAAGAUGUGAUUUAGACAACUCGAUCCUAAUCCUCUUACAUUCCUAGCAAUGAAACACUCGGGUUCAAAGCUUCAACAUGAAUGUUUCCAACAUGAAACAAAGUCUAAGUAUAAGUCAACAAGACUAUACAAAUAAACGAAUAGCUUCACAGUAUAUUCGUUUAAUCAUACAUUCCAACACAUUCAUACAUAAGCCAACUGUGCUUUGAAAUGGUUCAACAUAUUUUGUGUCAUUCGACACUUGCUACAAUGUGCCUAGACAUCUUGCCCUUAUUCUCACCAACGAGGUGAUGAAAUGUGAAGAAGGAACUCAUCUUCAUGCCACUAACUAGGUGAUGAAAUGUACAACCUGUACUUUCCUUCAUGCCACCAACCAUUUGAUGAAAUGUAAAACCCGUACUCUAAUAUCAUUUGGCAACUUGCCAUUCAUGCCACCAACCAGGUGAUGAAAUGUACAACCCGUACUCUAAUAUCAUUUGGCAACUUGCCACUCAUGUUACCAACCAGGUGAAGAAGGAACUCAUCUUCAUGCCACCAACCAGGUGAUGAAAUGUACAACCUGUACUCUCUUUCAACACAAAAGCUUCACCCACAAAAGCUUCACCUACAAAAGCUUGACCCACAAUAGCUUGACCUACAAAAGCUUCACCCACAAAAGUUUCACCCACAAAAGCUUUACCUACAAAAGCUUGACCCACAAAAGCUUGACCUACAAAAGCUUCACCCACAAAAGCUUGACCUACAAAAGCUUGACCUACAAAAGCUUGACUCACAACAGCUUGACCCAUAAACGCUUGACCCAUAAAAGCUUCACUUACAAAAGCUUGACCCACAAAAGCUUCACCUACAAAGCUUCAACACAAAAGUUUCACCUACAAAAGCUUCACACUAUCUUGAUCAAGAUAGUGUGAAGCAAAAUCAAUUCAUGGUGCCCAACAAAGCUUCAACCUCAAAGUUUCACCUACAAAGCUUCAACACCAAAGCUUCACCUGCAAAGCUUUAAUAUAUAUAUAUUUUUUUUUCUUUCGAAAAUUCAAAAAUUCAAAAAUUUGAAAAUUCGUCAACUCCCUCGACCGGAGACUUGAGGGACUCCUACCAUAUGCUACUGCACCUUGAUACUCGGAAGUCUCACAACCACUCAGUGACUCAGAUUUUUCAAGUCUCUAAACGAGAAGUUUUCCUCACUCGGGAAAUUAAGGGAGCACUACCUCAACCUAUAUGCUUUACUCACAAAGCUUCAACAAAAGGAAAAAUUCAAAGAACUUAGUGAAGAAGGCCUUGGUGUAUUUUGUUGAUGCACAAAAUCAGUGAGGACUUUGGUACAACAGAAAAUGUUAAGUUUGUGACAUUCGCUAGAUUGCUCCGAUCAUUAGUGUGGAUAUGUAAAUGGAUAAAGACAGGGAAGCAAACACAAGAUGUACGUGGUUCACCUAGAUUGGCUACGUCCACGGAGUAGAGAAGUUCUCAUUAAUUGUGAAGGAUUUACACAAGUAUAUAGGUUCAAGCUCUCCUUUAGUGAGUACAAGUGAAUGAUUUAGUACAAAUGACAUUAGGAAAUAUUGUGAGAGAAUGAUCUCUAUUUAUAGAAGAGAGUUUCUAGUUUCAUUCUGACAUUGACACAUGUCGUGUUGUGAUUGGCUUCUGAUGUUGACACGUGUCAUGCUAUGAUUGGCUUCUGAUGUUGACACGUGUCGCGCUGUGAUUAGCCUCCUGGUUGGAGGGAAACUCUUCUGGGUCCUUGACGGUAUAACGUUGACCGGUGCUCAGUAGUUUCGGGAUUGGUCAAGUAUGGUACAAACAAUGCUCCCCUAAGUUCCCGAGUGAGGGAAGCUCCUCGGUUGAGGACUUGCACGAUCCAAGCCAUUGAGUAAUCACGAAACUUCUAAGUACCGAAGUGUGGUAUCAUUUUCACUUGUCUUAUCUGUCUCAUAUGUAGAUGUGGUAUCUUCUCUGGAAGUACUUUUCCUCCAUCCAGGAGUGGUAUCUUUAAUCGAUGAAGAUGCACAAGGUAAUGUAUCAAUUUCACUUGAAGCUUACUUGUAUUUCGGGCUUGGUCAAGUGCGAUACAAAACCCUAUAGUAGGAGUCCCCCAAGUCGCCAAGCUAGGAGAUUUGCCGAAAGAGGUAACAGACAAGGUAAGCAAUCAAACUUCCAAGCAAGCAACCUGGAUCGGAGGUUCGACUUCGGCUUCCGGUUGAUUUUUCUCCUUCUCCUUGUCAUAAACAACAACAAGGAUAAGAAGAAGCAAAUGGAGAAGAGAUGAUAUGAGAUACUUUUGCUUUUGAAAAAGUAACUUUCCACAGGCUUAUUCUUAAACUGGGUUGGAGGGUUUUCUGGUUUCCUCAAGAGUAUAAGGCUGACUCAAGAAUUUAGGGUCAAAACAAAUCCACCAAAUCAAGAGUGCGUUCGACCUUGAUGAUAUGGGAUACUUUUGCUAUUGACGAAAUAGUGGAUGAAUCGGCACGUGUUCUAUUGUGCUUGUCUCCACAUGCUUCCUUGUAUCCUUCUCACUUGCCCUAUCUGUUCCUCAGGCAGAUGUGGUAUCUUUUCUAGAAGCUUAAGAUGUUGAAGAUGAGUAGUUGAGAGCAAUGCCAGGUAAGUAGUCAGGCAAGGGGUUCCAGGCAGUCAGUUCAUGACUGGAAGUUUGAUUCCAAGUGCUAACUGAUUGUUCUCUUUCUCUUUGUCUUGCAGGUAAGAACAAGGGCAAAGGAAAAAAUAGGGAAAAAGCAUGAUAUGGGAUACUCUUGCUUUUGACCCUGAUGAUAUAAGAUAAUCUUGCUCUGGUGUGGCUAGUUUGCAUAGGUAUUAUUGGGGGGAAGAAAGCUGAGUAUUUCGAGAAGCUUCGUUGGGAGUGCCCUCUCAGAUAUGAGGAAGGGUUGAGCAUUUUUGCAGGUUUACCUGUCCGUGGAUGAUGGAGGUCGAUAUAUAUAGGAGUCUCCCUAACAACAAGUAGUAAUGCUAUUCCUUUACCCUUCUUGGUCAUAGCAAUGUAGUGGGAGCUGCAAGCUUCACGUGUUUUAACUUUGUAAGAGCACUUUGAAAAAGUGGUAUGCGGUAUCUGGAAAGCUGAUGUUGCAUGUGAAGAUU